GAGUUAGUGACAAGGAGGGCUCGCUCUUGGGGCUAGUGGUGGGGAGGCAGUGGCCAGUUCAGGGCUCAGAUGAGAGAGGUGGCAGAGUUAGAGGCAGCCACUAGGAUGGGGGUGCGAGGAGAAGCGGCGCUCAGUAUAAAGGAGACUAGAUUUUGGGACAGUGGUCGUGUGGAAGGCAGCUUCCAAAGCGCCUUUAACAAUCCACACAGAGCCAGCCACCUUCAAGACCAGGCUAUCCCUGCUGUCUGCUGGCAUGGGGGCACUUGAUGUCCAGGAGGGCACAAGUUUCACAGGCCUACAUGGGGGCAGUGUCCCAGCUUGAGUGGCAGAGCAGCAGUUGGAGGAGACGGGUGGACUGGGGGCCCUUGAGGUCCCGGAAAUCAUAGAGGACAGGCAGUGAGUCGGGCAGAACUAGGUGCGGAGUGGAGGUCACCUUUGAUCUUGACAAAACCAGCAGACCCCUUUUUUUCCAGAUAAGGGGUUGUGAACCCACCUGGGGAUGAGGCCUGGUCUUAUGGAAGGUGGACUUAGCUUCGCUGGGCGGACAGCUCUGGCCCAGGGUGAUAGCAGUGCCCUCUCUGGACUUUGCCUAGGUUCCGUGGUUCCUCUUCUGUGGUCUCACUCUUCCCUACUCUCCCCCUCACUCUGAGGUUAAGGGGUCACUUAAAGCCUUGCCUCUGGGUCAUCUGGUAAGCCUGAGGAGGAUGUAGAGUCCGUGCUGGAGUCUUGGGCACAACAUUUUGGUAAAGGUGGAGGACACCCUGACUGGGCGGGGAGGGAUGGUGUUGAUUCACAGAGGGCGGGAUGUGAAUGUGGACCCUGGGGUGGGCUCACAGCCAUGUUUCCAGUCACCCAAAUGCUUCAUGGACAUGGUUAUCACUAUAGUGUACACCAUGGCAAGCAGAUGGCACCAGGAGAAAUGGAGCCCCUGCCAGUGUGAGUCGUAGCAGUGCAGGAGGGCUCACCCUGGAGGAGACAGCGGCCUCGGCUGAUGCCUACACAGUGAAUUCCAGAGGCUUAGGAAGCGCGUCCCUGCCCUGGGUCCAGGCCUUUCUCAGGAAGCCCUGUGUUCAGGAGGCCAUCGUUGAAGUCAGCUUGUAGGGGGUGGGCAGGUGCUUCCAGCCGGAGGGGUCGUCGGCUGUGAAUGUUCCAGAUGAAUGUCUUGUUCUGAGAGCGUCAUUCUUUGCGGAUGCAUGAAUGCCAGCAGGCACCCUUUUUCCUGGUGGUAGAGGCGUUCAUUCGGCUGCUGCAUCUUCUAAACAAGCCUCCAUCCAGCCUUUGUAGUUCUGUGCUGCGAACUUGGCCUCAAGAAGAUUCCGUAAGGUGUAGGACACUUUUUAACUUCUGCGCAGCGUGCUGUACUGUAGAUCGGGAGCCCAGUGACCUCGCCCACCUUCCCUGCUUCUGCAGCCUGCCUGCCUCUGCAUUGGUCAGAGGGAUUCUUAACUGAAAACUUGUGGGUGUUGGGGAAAGCUGUUGGGUUGUAAAUGACUGGUGUGGAGGAGUCUUCCUUGGAUGGAGUUGGUUGUUAAAUGGGUAGGGUUUGUGGUUUAACAGUGGGAAGGCGCAAGUUAGCCACAAAUUCUGCCGACUUGGUAGAUGCCGUAUCUAAUUUGGGCUUUGGGACGUCUUCUGGACUAAGAAGGGGACGGUGGGCCUGAAGUGGUCCCUGGGAAUGGUCUCUCGGAGGCUGUGGGUUUCGUACUGGGUGGGUGAGUGGCAACAGUGGUUCUGGCCCCUUUUGCUCAUUAGCUUUUAUGACUUAGGGCCUGGCUGUGUGUAUACCAGGCUGGCCUGGGUUCUCAGCCCUGCUCUCAGAUGACAGUGUCCUCUGAAACAUGGCUUUCCAAGGUGAAACCUGAGUUACGGAUCGAGCUUGGGAAUACUUUUGGCACCAGAUAUGGGACUUGUGGGAGAAAGCAGGGCUCAGCUUGGCAUUGGUGGAUUGAAGGAGGAUUGUACCUGGAACUGUGGGUUGAUGGGAAUAACAGUUUGGGAACUAAAUAGGUCACAUGAAGAUCUAAAGGCUGAUGGUAAAUCCCUACUGCGGGUGACACUACUUUGAGAUGCAGUUGCUUGGAAAAUACUAAAAUCCUACAAGGGGAAAAGCAAAAUUGUUUUGCUUCACUGUUGAAUGGGGAAGGGUGACAUUGAAAGCUUUUCUUAGUUACUCAAUAGAUGGUGUCACUACCCUGACCCAGGCGGGCCACAGGCCGUGGGGUGGAGCCUGGUGCGGCAGAGCUGAUGGUCAAGAAUUGAAGCUGGGAGGGGCUUGGUAAACGCCUCCAUUGUGGGCUCUGAAACCAUAGUACGGGAGGUUGGCAGACUUUUCUGGGUCUCUAUUGAAAUACUGUCACACUGUGUGAUUAGGAAUUACAAUGCUGCUAUCUAAAGGAAUUUCAUAUGGGAAUCAUGCCUUAUACAACACAUACAGGAAUUUAAUGUGUGAGCCAUGCCUUCAAAACAUCUUGAAUUUCUGGAAUUGGCCAGAAGACAACAGGGUCUGCUCAUUUAACCUUGCAAAUCAGUCAUUGUGACAAGGGGACGGGGUCUUGCGCUUGCUAUGAGAUCAUUGUGAUGCUUGUAGAAACUGAAUACAUCCAUUGUGGGUUUGGCUUGAAUGGUGCUUUAAAUCCAUCCCUGAGCAGAGGGGAAGCUGUUAAACUGUCAGUCAAAGCAGUUUGGGAAAUAAAAGAGACUGGGCCCGGGGUCAUCUUACUAGAUAACACUUUGUAAAAAUUGGUUCUGAAAACCCUGUUUAUUUGUGUAUUUGUGAAAACCCUGUGGUUGUUUUGUGAGUAUGCUUAAAGUGGUGUGACCAGGGCAAGAUCGCUUACUGGAACAGCUGUGUGGAAUGGGGAAAUGUGACUGUAACUGCAGGUCGGUCGCACCCGCUUCUCUGUACUAAAGUGUUCAGUGUACAAACCCUCUAAUCAUUUUUCUCCCCUUUACAGCAAAAUAAAGGUUUGAGAUUGAA
rnacentral:lncRNA from 1 species